rnacentral:misc_RNA from 1 species
ACAAACUUGGUCAUUUAGAGGAAGUAAAAGUCGUAACAAGGUUUCCGUAGGUGAACCUGCGGAAGGAUCAUUACUGAACGGACGCGCCGCGCCCGCCGCCCCUCACGGGACGACGGCCGGCCGUCUUUCCAGAACCCCUGUGAACACGUGAAUGUGCCCGUCACGCGCGGCGGCGGCCCCCCGCGGCCGCCCCCCCCGCACGCGACAACAUUUUCCAAUCACCACGCUUACGAACCCCUCUUGACUGAGACCAAAAACCGCGGAUCGCGUGUGUGCCGCCCCGUGCGUGCGCACGCGCGCCCCGGAAACCAAACCAAACUAUCACAACUUUUAACAACGGAUAUCUUGGCUCGCGCAUCGAUGAAGAACGCAGC